UCCAUGACCUGAGCUUUACAUAGUAUCUUUGUUCUGUACAGGGAUCAUGGCAAAAUUACCAACAAGUCCGUAAAGGAAACUGAAGGCGGUUUGAUCUACACCUUCAAUGCCAGUCCCACAAAGGCUGAAGAAAUAUGUUACGUCUCCAAAGACAUAUACCUCUAAAGAACACAGUCAUGCCCUAAAAUUAGGACAUGAUUCAGCUCUUCCUGUGAUGAUCAGAAGAUCUGUGCCUCUCCUAGGAUUUCAAUACUCCAAUGUAGAGUGAGUGUUUAAAUAACCAUAAAAACAAUAUUUGUUUGCAUAGUAAAUGGCUUGUUUACCUUUACAACUUUAGAAAAUCUUGCUUUGCCGUCUGCCUGGAGCUGAUAUUUGUAAUCAUUAACAAUUCUGGUUUCUAAGAAAGAUAGUAAUAUGAAUAUUAAAAAAUUUUAGAAUCAGAUGCAAAAUAUCCAAUGUAUUCUCUACAAUUGCUUUUUGUUGCCAUCUGUGCCACUUGCCUUUCUUACUGUCUUCAGUAGAAUUCACUUUUCAUCAGCAGACACUGAGUCAUAGGACAUUCUGUAUCAAUUUUGUGUUGUUCCUGGACAUUCACAGAUAGAUGAAUUAUGUUCAGAAUCAAUAAAACCAAAAUUAUUUUCA
rnacentral:lncRNA from 1 species